rnacentral:rRNA from 1 species
GAUGAACGCUGGCGGCGUGCCUAAUACAUGCAAGUCGAGCGAACAGACGAGGAGCUUGCUCCUCUGACGUUAGCGGCGGACGGGUGAGUAACACGUGGAUAACCUACCUAUAAGACUCGGAUAACUUCGGGAAACCGGAGCUAAUACCGGAUAAUAUAUUGAACCGCAUGGUUCAAUAGUGAAAGACGGUUUUGCUGUCACUUAUAGAUGGAUCCGCGCCGCAUUAGCUAGUUGGUAAGGUAACGGCUUACCAAGGCAACGAUGCGUAGCCGACCUGAGAGGGUGAUCGGCCACACUGGAACUGAGACACGGUCCAGACUCCUACGGGAGGCAGCAGUAGGGAAUCUUCCGCAAUGGGCGAAAGCCUGACGGAGCAACGCCGCGUGAGUGAUGAAGGUCUUCGGAUCGUAAAACUCUGUUAUUAGGGAAGAACAAAUGUGUAAGUAACUAUGCACGUCUUGACGGUACCUAAUCAGAAAGCCACGGCUAACUACGUG